AGUGUAGUGAAAACUUGGACUUCAACCAUCACUGGCCCAUGGCAAGCUUUUGGGGACCAAUGGCCUGCAGAAUAAGAUCUUUGGGUCCUAAUGAGGAAUGUAAACCAGUCUGAUGAGGACCCACUCCUGAGAGCAGCCAGGCUGUACCUCCAUCUCUGGAACCGUGCCAGGAGGCUGUGUGCCUAAUCUGCUCAGAAAUCAUUCCUUUCUGUCUAUCACUGAAGCUUGAACACACUCCAGGAAUUAGGUACCUAGCACAGAUUACACGUCAACCUCGGUCGGUGUGCAUUCUACAAACCACACCUGGUAGGGAGUGGAUAUGGAAGAACACGCAAAUAAAAAAUUCAUGAAAGAUCUGGUUUAUUAAGAAACGUCUGUUUGAAACUUCCUGGCUCCAUCCAUGUAUUAGUAUCCUUGCAAAUAGUUUGUGCAGUUUUCAACGUAUUUUAGUAAAGUCCUGGAAGAGCAAAGGAACAAAGACCUGCAGGAUUCCUUCCGGGAGAGUAGCAGGCUGACUAGGACUGGACAGAGAAAUCACCCAGAGUGAUGAAUCAAUUUCUAACAGUGAUAGCAUUGGAGGAAGAGGCUU